rnacentral:lncRNA from 1 species
AUGCAGCAUGUAUAGCUCAAUUGAAGGGAGGAUUCAUAAAAGGAGAUAGAACGAAGCAUAUUUCACCAAAGUUAUUCUUCACACAUGAUCUCCAAAAGAAUGGUGAUAUCAAUGUUCAACAGAUUCAUUCAAGCGAUAAUAUGGCUGAUUUGUUCACAAAAUCUCUCUACCAAAGUCAACCUUCAAGAAGCUAGUUCACAAGAUCGGGAUGCAAAGACUUAAGGACNNNNNNNNNNNNNNNNNNNNNNNNNNNNNNNNNNNNNNNNNNNNNNNNNNNNNNNNNNNNNNNNNNNNNNNNNNNNNNNNNNNNNNNNNNNNNNNNNNNNNNNNNNNNNNNNNNNNNNNNNNNNNNNNNNNNNNNNNNNNNNNNNNNNNNNNNNNNNNNNNNNNNNNNNNNNNNNNNNNNNNNNNNNNNNNNNNNNNNNNNNNNNNNNNNNNNNNNNNNNNNNNNNNNNNNNNNNNNNNNNNNNNNNNNNNNNNNNNNCUAAGCAUCAAUAAGAAGAACUCUCUCUACUCUUCUCUCUAUUGCUCUUGUUCUUGCAUUAUUGUUCUUGUCUUUUAUAUUAUUUCAUAACAAAUAUUAAUUAAUGCUUAUAAUUAAUGUACUCUUAAUCUAAACUUAUCUCAUUACGGUAAGUAUCUGGUUUAGUGAAAUAGUUCAUGGGCUUAGCUUACCCAUUAAUUCUCUCUUUCAUCUCAACUUUACCUGUUUCAUGUGCGUGACUCACGACAUUAUUCACCACCAAAACCAAAACAAAAACAAAAACCAAAAUAGAAAUGAUUCGUCUCCUUCCUCUUCUUCUCCGAACAUCAACAUUAACGUUGCCACAAAAACCGGUCCAAAAUCCAAGUUGUCCGAAACCCAUUCUCGUUUCUCAUCCUUCCUCAUCAAACUUCGUUACAGUUUCACAAUAACAAUGGUCGUUGAAGCUCAUCAGCUAUUUCUCCCAAAACCCCCUUUCUUUUCACCUUCUUUCCCUUCUCCACCCCCUCACUUUUCUUCUUUCCUCUUUGACCCUUCUUCUCUCUCUUUAGCUCUCUUCCAUUCCGAUUCUUCCAUCUCUCUCUACCCUUCUUUUUCCCCUUUUUCUUUCUCCUCCUUUCCUCCUCCUCAAACAACCCUCCCUCCGCCCGUCUCUGCCGCCUCUUUCCUCCUCCUCCGGAACCCUAACCCUACUACCCUCUUUCUCAUCUCUUCUCCUAUCUCCGGAGGUUCCUCCAUUCUCCUGCGCUUUUACAUCCUCAACGCCGCCCGGAAAAGUUUUGCUCCGGCUAAAAUUGUGUGCAAUCACAGUGAUAUGAAGUUUGAUGAGAGUAAAUUCGGGGUUGUUUUUAGGGUUUCUCAUGGGAUUUCGCUGAAAUUGAUUGGGGAUGUGAAUGUGUUUGCUCUAUACUCUAUUUUGAAUGGUAAAAUUUGGAUUUUUUCUGUGAAGCACCUGGGGGAUGAUGAGGUGAAGCUAAUGAAGUGUGCUGUGAUUGAUUGUUCAUUGCCGGUGUUCUCGAUCAGUCUUUCAUUUGGGUUCCUGAUUUUGGGGGAAAGUAAUGGGGUUAGGGUUUUACUCUUGAGGCCAUUGGUCAAAGGAAGAGUUAUUAAGAAAGAGAAGAAGAGUUUGAAUGGUGGGUUAGAAAAAGAUAAGAUGGAGAUGAAAAAAGUGUCUUUACGAAAUGGGAUGAUUAAUGGAAUUAAUGCUGAGAUUUGUUCUGCUGAUGGUAACAAAUUCACUACGGAAUUGAAGUUCCCUUCCAAUGGUGUAUUGGAGGAAAGGAUCGAAAACCGCACUGGAUCAGGUGCUGAAAUACUUUCUUGUUUCCUGUCUUUUUGUAGCUAUUUGAGAAGCUUAGGGUGCAGACCCCUAACUGUUUAAUGGUUAUUGCUUUUAAAUUGCUAUUUUACAUUUCUGGUGAUACAGGAUCUGUACAUGUAUCUACUAUUUUACUCAGGUUUUUACUUUGUUUAGUCCAGCAUAUCUUUGUAUAAAAUUGGAUAAGAUCAUAGUAUUCCUCAAGGUAAUUAGUCUCCUUAAAACUUGUCUAUGUACUCCAUGUAAAAGCAAUACUAUAGUGGAUAUUUCAUCUAUACAUUGCUUGGAUUAGUUUCUAAGUAGAAAUAACUGCCUAGAAAGGUUAAAUAAAAUGAACUGGUUAAAAUUGAACUUUCUCUCUCUUCGCUUCAGAUAGUCUAACAUGCCCUUUGGACGUCCAUGGGAAGGGGACGAGGUCGGGGAAGGGGACUACCUAAGAAGGAGAUACAGAUAACGUUUGGAAGUGCUGUGCAUGUUCUAUCUAAGAUGAAUGAUGCAAGAUCAAGAAUGCUAAAAUCCAAGAAAUUCAAGAAGCGAAGAAUCCAUUCAAGAUUAGGAUUUCGUUCCUUUAAAGAUUAUGAUUUGUUAUUUCUUAUUUCCUAGUAAUUUAAUUCUUGUUUUAGUAGGAUUAUAUUUGUCGUUCUAGUCAAACUAGGAUUGUUAGUUGGUAUCUCAUUCUUACUAGAAUUGGUUGUCCAAUUUUAGUCAGGAUAGGGUUUUUAGCCUUUUUCUUAUUCUAGUUUAAUUAGGAUUAAUUUUCCUUAACCUUAUCAAUUUUACUCGUUAUAAGGCCCAUAUAAAGGGCUCAAUAUACUGAAAAUAAAGAUUGGUGAUUAGUUUUUCUAAGCUAUUGUUUUAAAAAUGUGAUUUACUCUUUAUGUCAUUGUUCUCCCUUUAUUCAACGCUUUUUGCAAUCUUGCCGGAUUGGGAAACAUGUAGGUGAGGGUUCUUUCCAUCUUACAUUCUUCUAACGUGAGUUUGAAGAACGUUUUCGCUAGUUUUGUGAAAAACUUUAGCGGGGUGCUAUUGUUUUUCUCUCUUAUUUGUACUUGAGAGGUGCAAAACCUUGAAAGUACAUCAAUUUGGUAUCAGAGCACAAAUUUCAGGUCCUAAGAGUGCUUUUGUUUUUCUCUCUUCUUUAUACUUGAGAGGUGCAGACCUAGAAAAUACAUCAAUUUGGUAUCAGAGCUCAAGUUCGAGGUCUGAAUUCUUGAUUUGCUACCUUAUUCAUCAUGUCACCAAACAAGAAAAUACCAAGUUUAGGAUCUUUUCAAGAUCCUCUUUAAUGGAUCUUCAAUUACAAGUUCAUAAAUUAAGAAUUAGAAUCCUUGAACGAGACAAUGAAGAAAUUAAAGUGCAGCUAGAUGACUUGAAGGAAUCAAUGGAGAAUCUGACUAAAUUAGUUGAAUGCUUGGUGCUUCAAAAUCAGUCGCCAAAUCUAUCACAAUGCCUACAUUUUCCACCACUACUAUCACCAAAUAACAUACCAGUGCUACAACCACAUCUACACUUCAAUAUCCACCAAUUAAACCGCAUAGAGCACGAUAUAUUGAGCAACCUGAAGAGGUUGAAUUUUGACCAAGGCAUGAGCAUACCAAGGCACCAUGCCCAAUAUGAUAAUUAUUCAGAUAAGGAAGGGAGUGAACAGGAAGAAACUGAUGAAGACCAAUAUCGAAGAAGUGAGGACCAAUCAUUGGAUCCAUUAUUUGAGGAGUUCCUAUCGAAGUUUUAUGAUGAUCUGAACCCAACUAUGUGAGUUCCGCCUUUUAGAGAUGCUCAACACAAUAUUGAUUUGAUAGUUGACUUUAUCAAUUCAAACAAGGUAGCAUAUUGCAUUAAUUCUAAAGUUCAUGGAAAUAUGCUAGAAAAAGAGGAAAAAUUACGUAUAAAGGAGUGUAUAUUGGAUAGUUUGAGUCCAUAUGUUGGAGAAACAAGAUUUCUUAGCGUCAUAAAUAUAUAUAUGGCUAUCGUCAAAGUGAUUAUUGGCGUACGAGCGAUGCAAUUGAUGCAUUCCCAAGAAGAGCGUUGAUCUCUAUGCUUAACUCAAAGCUAGACAUGGAGUUGGUUAACUAUAUACCAAUAACUUCAUAUCAUAAGUUGAAGUUUGAGAGUUAAUAUAGAAAGAUGCAUGGAGAGGAUUUGGUAGAAAGUUGAAACAAGGAAACUGGGAUUUGGUUCGAUCACAUGUUAAGUUUGCUUAGAACAUGAAGAAGCUCUACGAUAUACCAGCAAAAUGUAACUUAAAACCCAGUGAGCGUAUGGUCCCUAUUUUUUUCCCCUUGGGUCUCCGUUCUUAUUAUAGCAAAUUUAACACCAUCUGGAAGUUGUUAGAUUCGAGGACGAGUCUUUUUCAAACAGCGGAGAAUGAUGCAAGAUCAAGAAUGCUAAAAAUCCAUAAAAAUUCAAGAAGCGAAGAAUCCAGUCAAGAUUAGGAUUUAGUUUCCUUAAAGAUUAUGAUUUAUUAUUUCCUAUUUCCUAGUAAUUUAAUUCUUGUUUUAGUAGGAUUAUAUUUGUAGUUCUAGUCAAACUAGGAUUGUUAGUUGGUAUCUCAUUCUUACUAGAAUUCAUUGUCCAAUUUUAGUUAGGAUAGGUUUUCUUAGCCUUAUUCUUAUUUUAGUUUAACUAGGAUUAGUUUUCCUUAACCCUAUCAAUUUUACUCAUUCUAAGGCCUAUAUAAAAGGCUCAAUAUGCUGAAAAUAAAGAUUGGUGAUUAGUUUUUCUAAGCUAUUGCUUCUAAAACGUGAUUUACUUUUUUUCUCAUUGUUCUUCCUUUAUUCAAAGCUUCUUGUAAUCUUGCGGGAUUGGGGAACAUGUGGGUGAGGUUUCUUUCCAUCUUACAUUCUUCUAACAUGAGUUUGAAGAACGCUUUCGCUAGUUUUGUGAAAAAUUUUAGUGAAGUGCUUUGGUUUUUUUCUCUCUUUUGUACUUCAGAGGUGCAAAACCUAGAAAGUACAUCAAUGAAUGCUUCAACAUCAAAGCAACCAGUUGCAAAAAUUUCAAUGGAACAGUAUCAAGAUCUGGAACCUUCAUCGAGUUCAGCUGUAAAAAAGAGACCUAUAGUGGAGAUGGUGGAUGUAGACAAAACUCUAUUACCAGAGAGAACUUUCUGGAGAAUGGAAAUCAGUUGAAACAAAUCGAAGAUCCAAGUCCAAAAUGUAACUGUUCCUGUUCAAGUGGAGGAGAAUCAAACAAUGGACAAACGUGAAAAUCAAGAGGCAAAUAAGGAAGCUAAUGAAGUGAAGGAUGAGGCUUUGAAGCCAAAGUGGAAGCUCUACUAGCUUGGAAGAAGGUCUCCACACCAAAGUCAAUGGGUAGACUAGGCUUGAUAAACAUGAGAUUAUGGAAUAAAGCUGCAAUAACUAAGCUAGUUGUGACAUCGAAGAUAAGAUAGAAAGGUUAUGGAUUAGAUGAUUGCAUGCAUGCUAUAUCAAGUAUCAGCAAUUCUGUCAAAUGACUAUUCCUCUACUGGCAGGUUGGAUGGUAAGGAAAAUGUUUCAGGCUAGAAAUACAUUGGCAAUGAUUCAAAACAAAACUGCUGGUAUUUUAAUUAAGCAGAUAUCUUUUCAGUUAAUUGGGAACAAUGAGAGAAUUUUCAUGGAAGACAUUGAGAUAUGGAAAUAUUGCUCGUCCAAAAGCUCAUUUUACAGUAUGGCUACAGAUGCAGGGUAGACUUCUGACCGUGGAUAAAAUUGCCUCCUGGGGUGUAAAUGUGGAUCAUGUCUGCAAUCUAUGCAAUAGUCAAAAUGAAACGAGAAAUCAUAUCUUCAUGGAUUCUUCUUACUCUGUCAAAGUCUGGGAAGGUGUGUUAAAAUGGAUAAAGGUUCCCAGUUUCAGGACAAGACGGUGGGACAACUGGAGAAUUGGAUCAUUCAAAGAGCAAAGGGUAAAUCACAAAGAGCACAAGUAUUCAAGAUGACUUAUACAUAAUGGGUGCAUACAAUAUAGAUUGAAAGGAAUCAACACAGAUUUGAAAAGAGAUCAAGGAGUGCAGAUCAAUUGGUGAGGGAAAUAGCAUAUGUGUGUAAUAUCCGUGCGCCUACUACAAUUAAAGAAAUG